ensembl:lncRNA
CACAAACACACAUGGACUUGCUCUGUAUCACCUGUGAUGUGGUUUUUAUAGACAAAAGAAAAACACUGAUCUCAAAGUAGAUCGAGUGCUUCAGGAGAAAUGGUCAGAACGCAGUGUUUCAUCAAGAGGAAAGCUUUGCUUUUUUUGCCUUCUUCAUCUGGUCAUCUUUUCUAUUCAAUAAACCCACUACUUUCUCUUAUAAUUGUAAGUUCAUAAGAUGGCAAAAGUCCUGGUGGCUGGAUGCUAUUACGUAAAUGCUUAAAAAGACGAAGGUGAGAUUUCAUUCUGCCUUCAAGUUGCACAUUGUUAUUACAUCAAAGUGCCUGCAUGGAGUGUUGCAAUAAUCCACGCGGAGGCAAGCCAAGCGUCAGGUAUUGAGGAGAUGAGGGCUGUGGAAGUGGGGUCAAGACCUUCCACUGCCGCCUGGAUCAUGAAAGAAAGGAGGAUUUUUUGGAAAGUUGGAAAUUGGAUGUUACCCUACUUUUCCAUCUUCCCCGAGGGUUUUGGAACCACUUCUAUUUACAACAGGAGUUCUGCUUCAAAACUGUGCC